GUCCUGCCCCUCACCUUCCUAAUAUGGGGGCAUCCCUUUGCCCUCGUCCAAUCAGUGCUCUCGAUGCGUCCCACCUAGAGAUUUCCCCACUGAGGUUUCAGUGAAGGGACAGGCUGACUGGUAACAGGGUGAUUAGGAGUUAGUGAGUGAGAGUUUGACAGAGAACAGUGUGUGAUUUCAGCUCAUCAGCCUGGUGAAUCUCUCCCCUCUACCCAGGGAGGAAGCACACUGAGACAGUGGUAUCAACCAGACUCUGACAGAGAAUUGGAAGAAAGUCAUGUAUUUACGCAGGCCAGAGACCCAGCCGUGAAGGACAAAAGGUGGUCUCCCCCUUCGGACAGGCCUCCCACCGCCCCCCACGCCAACCCUCACCACAGUGCCUCCCCAGAGGACCAGGAGAGCCCAGAGAGAGUGGUGAGUGGAGACUGUUUGGAUACCCUAACACACUCAAGCCAGGGAAGGAUAGGAAAUGGUGAACUUUAAUGUCCCCGAGGGGAAAUCUGUCUCAGACACACAGUACUGAUGUAUACACAAAAUAGUCACUGUACAUUACACACUCAACAUAAUAGAUGCAUUGGCUGUUACCCCUGUCAUGCACAUUGUACACUUCACAUAUAGCCACAUACAUAAUACAUAUUGCACAUUUCCCUUACAUUCUGUCAGUGGCGUACUAAUCCGGCUCACUUUAUGAUAGACAUGGGAAUGAAGGAGAGCUUAGACCUGUUCAGCUUACAUGUAGGACCCUAUAGCGUCUGAGGGGAGGAGCUGACACUCGGAAUUAAGUACAUGGGAGGGGUCUAAAUAUAAAUUAGGAAAGCAAACAAUACACUGUGUGUUUAUGGACAUGCACUCUUUGGCGUAUAAUAUUUUCACGUCACUCGUAUAUCCUUUUUAAAAAAAAUUUAAAGGUUGAAGCAUUUCAGAAUUGACAACAGUAUUAUGCAUUAUAAUAAUGUUUAUGACAUAUCCUCUAGUCCCCAACACCUGGUGUGCUAACAC
rnacentral:lncRNA from 1 species